AAAAGAAAAAAAAAAACAUAUGUUUUCUCUCUUCUCAACCUAAAAAGAGGCUAUGCCAAUUUCAUACGAAGAGACUCGCUGAUGAUCCAUGUAGACGUUUAAAUAAGCCGAUCAUCGAAGCGGGAAGGAUUAGAGUCACCUGAGAGAUCCGGAACAUUCGGAAACGUUGCCUCCACCGACUCCUGCUUCGAAGGAUGCGGUGGUUGAUGACGCCGAAGAGACCAGCUACUCUAAUUUCCCUAAGUAUACGGAAGGAAGAUAUAGCCGCGCUAGAUCCAGAUCAUCUGCUCUCCUCCGAUCCAUUGUUGAGAAUUGAGUUCUUGAUUAAAUCUGCAACAAAGAGAAAUCAGUAAGUCGAAGAACAAAGAAGAAGAAGCAAAGCUCCCGUGAAGAAGAAAACGUUGCCGGAGAAGAAACGUCGUGAAGAGAGGAGUCAAAGGUGGAGAAGAAGGUCAACAAACCAUAUGGGUUUGUGUUUUGUGAGUUGGGCCAUCGGUGAUGUUGAGGCCCAUAUGAAUAAGUGUUUUGUGUUUCUUUAGUUAAGGUCCAACAAGAAUGGUUGUGUUAACUAAAACACCAAGUUCAAGUUAGAGUCCAAGUGUUGUGUAAGAAGAGUAAAUCAAGGAGGAAUUAGAGUCAAUGUGUAGGGUGGCUACUUGUCUUGUGUAAGAGAGUAGUUAGUAGGAGUAUGGUCUAGAAGCAUGGGUGCAAUUGUGUGUGUGUCAAGUAGAAGUAGUAUAUGUAUGUGUGUGUGUGCUCUUGUAAGAAAAAACUAAGUGAAUGCAAUGUAGACAAUUAAAGUUUCUCUCUUAGUAAAGAAUCGU